CGCUGGAUUACCACUCUGCUAGUGCGACACAUUGUUUAAGCUUGGAUAUGGCUGAAGCAAUGGCACGUGCCUCUUUGUCUUCUUGUUCUUCUUUUAAAACGCUGAAGUUACAGCUCCUUUUUAUCAUUUCUUGAAUAGAAAUUGACGUGGGGUUCGUUCUUUCUUAUGUCAUUUGGUUCCUGCAAGAUUCGAGGAUAUUUUCUCGAAUCUAUGACUGUUCCUCCGAAACCAUCUUACAAACGGUGUCGUAUUUGCCUUUUGUACUCUGUCCAUGUGCAAACGCUAUUCUCUUUUUCCAUUUGUGUCAUCUCUGAGUUGUUCAAUGUGACGUUUUGCUCAAAACGUCCAUUGUUAGACAUCAUAGUGAGUCAUGAGUCCUCUGCCUCUCUCUCUUUCUCAUGAAAAUACCAUUUUCUUUUUCCUCUUAUAAAUCCCAUAAUUGAAUCCUACUGCUACAUCUCAGGAGCUGUCACUACUAUGCAUCUAAGGUGCGCAUUGUGCACCAGCCUGUGUGGACCCAGAAGAAAAGGAUUUUCUUUUCCCCCUCCCUCGCUUCGCUUUCUAUUCCUGGUCGUGUUGGCCUUUUCAACAUUUAAUAGACAGAAUUUUUUGCCCUGUACUUUG
rnacentral:misc_RNA from 1 species